GCCGUGGGUUAUAUGUCUUUUUGCGCUGCGCCGUUUCCUUGCGCCUUUUCUCAUGGACGGAAUCAAACUGUGUAAAAAGCAAAAUGCUGCUUUUGAGGGAUAUGGAAUGUAAAACAAUCUGGAAUGAGAACGUGUGCUAGUAUAAAGCUACCUGAAAUUGGCAACACUUCCCGAAAUCUCAGAAAGCUUCUGGUUAUUAACAAAUCAGAAUACAUGGGGCUUCCACCCGUUAAAAAAGCUAAUUUUGUCUUGAUAACCAGAUAAUAUAUGAAUUUUCACUGACACGUUCUUAAUCGCAAUCACUCGAAUAGCAUACAAAAGACGACAUACAACGGCAGAAAAAGGAUACCAGGUGAGGUUUUAAACCUUAUUCUUGCUUUUCAAAGUGAAGAAAAACGAUCGUUUUCAGAGUUUUUGAUCGUAUUUCAAAUUAUUGCAAACUCCAUUCUAAGGCAUCAUUGCUUAGGUAAGCAUGCGCAUUGCGUGCUGUAUUACGUCUCUACCUCCCCUCCCCUCUUAUCACGUUUUUCUCCCACUGACCUUUACGAGUGUAGUUGAUCUCCGCCAUUUUGGCACGUGUGGAAGAGCAGGUAGUCGAAAAUGGAGUUUAAAAGGUCGGAGCAGAAGGUGGAAUCAGGAGGCGUUUUGUUUACCUCUACGGAAACUAUUCCUUAGGUAUGAAAUUUAUAAGGUCAGAUGAGAACAGAGACAAAGUGACUGAAGCUUUAUCAGCCAUCUCUAGAAGAGUUGUAAGUUUUAUUUUGCAAUUCAGCUUUUGGGUGAACCAGGUAAACAAAGCUCUUGAAUAAGCCAAGUUCUGUUCUGAUUACUUUAAUUCAGUCAUGCUAUGUAUUCUGCCAUGCUUUAUCUGCACAAUGAAUAAGAAGAGCUCUUAAAUAACACAUUUUUAACAAUUUAUACAAUCUUGAAAUAAUAUCAGUCGUUAAUAAAUCAUUGUUUUAGGCUUAUUAUUCUUUACUCAAAAUCAGUGUUCACACUCUAUACUCAAAAUCAUUUCUCUGGGCUGGUUUGCAUUUUCCCUUCUAAAUCCUUUUUGAUUACUUGAGUGACUAACUGAGUGACUAAUUGGGUUAUAAUGGAACCAUUUGACUGGUUGACUGUUCGAAUUACCUGCUUGCCGAACUUGUCUGGCAGACCUAUUGACAGAUUCAUUUAGUAAUGAACUCGUUGAUUAACCAGUUGACAAACCUGUCUACACACCUACAUGAUAGCUGAUCAACUUAAUAGAUCUAAACAACCGGCUUAGUGACAUUAAAAAACCAACUAAUUUACAGCUUAAUAAGUGAUUGACAGACUAAAUGCUGUACUGAUUGAGAUUGAUUACCACUGUGAAUGAUUGAAUGACUGGUCAAAUGAUUGAUUGAUAAAAGUGAUUGAUUUUAUGAUCAAUUUACUGUAAAUGGUUUGAUUUAAAAAAUGACAAACAAAGCUAUCAUUAGUAUAUUGAUGGAGUAAGUAGGCAACUGACCGAAUGACUGACUAAUCAAUAAUGUUUCAUUGAUUGACUAAUACUGACUGACUGACUAACCCUAAUAGAUUGAUUGGCCAAUUGAUUAAUACUGAUUGAUUGAUUGAUGAAAUUAUUGGCUAAAUACAUCAUAAAUAACUACAUGACUGACUGACAAACAUACUGCGUGAUAGAAAGAAGAUUGUCUGGUUGCUCAAUGUUGCUGUUUAAUUAAUCUGAUUAAUUGUCCCAUAUUUGCUUAACUACCAAAAACAUUAAUUAUUGAAUGACUGAAGGACCAGCUGUUGAUAAAUGAUCCAUUUAACUGCCAUGCCUAUAAUGUUUAGACAAAUUUGCUUGUUGGCCUGACUGAGGGACAGACCAAUAAACAGACAAAGAGGCAGACUGAUUGACCAGCAGGUCAACUAACAAUUAACUGACCAAACAACAGACUGAUCAGUUGUGUGAUUGAGUGAUUGUUUAUCUGACUGACUGACUGACUCACUGACUCGCUCUUUGACUGAC